CGAUCUGGCUCAGGAUGAACGCUAGCUACAGGCUAACACAUGCAAGUCGAGGGGCAUCGAGAGGAAAGCUUGCUUUCCUGUCGGCGACCGGCGCACGGGUGAGUAACGCGUAUCCAACCUUCCCCUUAGUAGGGCAUAGCCCGGCGAAAGUCGGAUUAAUACCCUAUGUUUUCCGAUGAGGACAUCUGAGCUGGAAUAAAGAUUUAUCGCUAAGGGAUGGGGAUGCGUCUGAUUAGGUAGUCGGCGGGGUAACGGCCCACCGAGCCUACGAUCAGUAGGGGUUCUGAGAGGAAGGUCCCCCACAUUGGUACUGAGACACGGACCAAACUCCUACGGGAGGCAGCAGUGAGGAAUAUUGGUCAAUGGGCGAGAGCCUGAACCAGCCAAGUAAGCGUGCAGGAUGACGGCCCUAUGGGUUGUAAACUGCUUUUAUCGGGGGAUAAAGUGAGGGACGCGUCCCUUUUUGUAGGUACCCGAUGAAUAAGGACCGGCUAAUUCCGUGCCAGCAGCCGC
rnacentral:rRNA from 1 species